rnacentral:rRNA from 1 species
AACGAACGCUGGCGGCGUGCCUAACACAUGCAAGUCGAACGCGAAAAGCAGUAAUGCUGAGUAGAGUGGCGCACGGGUGAGUAACACGUAAAUGACAUGUCCUCGAGACGGGAAUAACCAGCCGAAAGGCUGGCUAAUACCCGGUAAGCCCACGUCUUUGGAGAUGAGGGAAAAGGGUCGGGAAUUUUCGAAUCCGAUCGCUUGAGGAGUGGUUUGCGGCCCAUCAGGUAGUUGGCGAGGUAAAAGCUCACCAAGCCUAAGACGGGUAGCUGGUCUGAGAGGAUGAUCAGCCACACUGGAACUGAGACACGGUCCAGACUCCUACGGGAGGCAGCAGUGGGGAAUCUUGCGCAAUGGGAGCAAUCCUGACGCAGCAACGCCGCGUGGGUGAUGAAGGUCUUCGGAUCGUAAAGCCCUGUCGGAGGGGAAGAUGCUUGGAACGUCUAAUAGAUGAGCCAGGUGACGGUACCCUCAAAGGAAGCACCGGCUAACUCUGUG